UACGAAGGGGGCUAGCGUUGUUCGGAAUUACUCGGCGUAAAGCGCACGUAGGCGGCCUUGUAAGCUGGGGGUGAAAUCCCGGGGCUCAACCUCGGAAUUGCGUUCAAGACUGCUUGGCUCGAGUUCGGGAGAGGUGAGUGGAAUUCCCAGUGUAGAGGUGAAAUUCGUAGAGAUUGGGAAGAACACAAGUGGCGAAGGCGGCUCACUGGCCCGUAACUGACGCUGAGGUGCGAAAGCGUGGGGAGCAAACAGG
rnacentral:rRNA from 1 species